UGGCAGAAGCAGUGCUGAAACUGCUCUCUGAAAGUGAGUUCUCCUGACCCAAUGCCGACUGACUUCUGUGCAAUUGUUCGCCGGUGGCGAGAGCAGAGGACAAUGAGGUGAGACGGCAGACCGCAGCCGCUGGACGUGGCGAUUGAGCUCGGAGAUCUCCUGCUUGGUGUUACGGAGGUCAUCCCCGUGCCUGCCUGCCGUAGCCUGCAGCUCUUCGUACUGUCACAGAGAGAGGAACAACCAGUCAAGGCUGCGGUUGUUGUCCAUGGUCAGGAUGACAGAGGUGUCGGAGAUCUGGGUCUGCACCUGAGACAGCUCCUGCAAAAGCAGCCGGUAUUUUGCUAUUGGGUGAGCAACAUCUAAUUCAACAUAGUACGUGAAUGUGUAUGGACCGGAUCCUCCACCUGCUUAUAGUCACAGGAGAGGAACAUGUGAGCAUCAAGACCCAAGAUAAACACGUAAAACAGCGUGGCCAGUGGUCUGAACAGAAAGGGAGCGCUUUCAACCCGCUCCCGUUUGCCCUGCUGGCAUCUACGCUUAGACCGCAGCCGCUGGACGUGGCGGUUGAGCUCGGAGAUUUCCUGCUUGGUGUUACGGAGGUCGUCCCCGUGCCUGCCUGCCGUAGCCUGCAGCUCUUCAUACUGUCAUGGAGAGAGGAACAACCAGUCAAGACAAGACAUGAAGAUAACAGCACGGAAACCCCCGGUUUCUUCACCUUGGUUUGGUACCAGGACUCUGCUUCAGCCCGGCUGCGGUUGGCGAUGUCCUCGUACUGCGCUUUGACCUCCGAGAUGAUGCUGUCCAGGUCCAGGUUUCGGUUGUUGUCCAUGAUGAGCGUGCAGACCUGGGAGAGGCUACAGAUUGUUAUCUAAAGAGACGGUUGGUGUAACUCUAAAGAGGUAAAGGAUUUAGCAUCUCCUGGGGGAAGAAAUUACAGGCUUUCAGAGGAAAGGAGGGAGGGAAGCUCUUAACUGAGAGUUGAAAUGUCUUGGGAGCUGGUUGUACUCACUGCUUCGUAGAGGGCUCUCAGGAAAUUAAUUUCUUCAGUCAGCGCAUCUACCUUGGCUUGUAGUUCCACCUUGUUCAUAUAGGCAGCAUCUACGUCCUGGAGGACGAGAGAUUUAGGUAAUGCGCUUGAAACUCUUAUUAGCAAGUCAGGAACGCACGUAUCUCUGGAAUAACAGUCCAGGGAAGAAACCGUAAAAAAAGCUUUUGGAAUAUGAAUGGAUGGAUUUGUGAAUGAAUAGGUGAUUAGAGCUCUACAAAUAGUCAUGAGAUGGUAUUCUGUAAUUUCCUCUCACCUUCUUGAGUGUCACAAAUUCAUUCUCUGCAACUGUACGCCUGUUGAUUUCAUCUUCAUACCUAAUGGAGGGAGGCAGAAGGAGCAUUUGUUUAGGCAAGUAACAGACAGAGGUGAUUUUAGUUUGCUGGAAUGAACUUCCUUAAGAGCAUUUUGCAUACAUUGUUCUUUUCUCCUACAGAGCAUCUGAAUAAGAGACCAUGAGCAUGUUCCUAGGCUAAACUAGUUAAAACAAGUACAUCAAAAAAAUUUUAAAGAAUCCAUUCCUUUUUUCCUAUUUCUGGCCAUUAGUCAUACUCCUGCCUCUCUUAAGCAAAUUAAGCAUGCUGUCCUGAAACUCUCAGACCUACCAUGUAAUUUUUUUUUUUCUCAGUAGGUAAUUUAGUUAAUAAGUCUUUGAUCAUAUUCUAAAUUAUUCCCUAAAUGUUUUUGUAUUUGGAUCUGUUACUCCGUUACCGUUUAUCUUGAGAAAACGUCACAACCUUCACUGUCGGGAAUUCCUGUGUGCCGGACGCUCCCGGAUCCCCCGGUUGGCUUAAGGAUGUCGAAUGGAGAAAGGCUGCACCUACCUAGGGUGGAGGUGAUGCGGUUGUCACUCAUCUGGAAGGAAUUUGAGAGGCUGCAAGCAGCAGCGGGUACAAGUCCCAGACCAAGAGGCAGGAGAUGCCUUUACCCCAUGCUGUAAACCUGGGAGUAAAGUCUUGGCUGAGUUUGGUUCUGGCAUCAUGCUGAUAUCAAGGCAGCGAACGUGGGAUACCUCCAACAGCUUUUCAUCACCUCCUCUCCAUCUCUCAGCACCGCUGCUCCUCUCCAGCAUCCGCCUCGGAAGCCUUCGUCUGACGAUGGAUGCCCUUUCUCAGACAAGGCUGACAUUUUUAGAAGUGCCCCUGGCUGCUGGGGCUGUGAUCUCCACCGAGCUCCGCGCAGAAAGCAAGAUCUUUCAACGCUGAAGGUUAUCGCAGCAGUAUUGUAGCAUCUCGUCCUUUCCCGUGGCCCCAGGAAGAGCUUCCAGGGUGGGCUCUUAAAACACUUCCUGUGGAAACAGAAAAGAGACCGAUGGCUGCUCAGAGGGGUUUUUGCCUCGGUAGCAUCCUCCCCCUCAGACCGUGGGCGAAGGACCCGACAGCAGCCUCUGGCACCGCACUGACGGAGACUGCAGAGAUGCCCAGCACUGAGCGUGAUGGCCAGAGCUCCAGGGCGUGGAGAGCUGUACGGUGGGGAGGUCUGGAGGAUGCUAUCGUGGGGAGAGCUCAUCGCUUACCGCUUCGUAGAGAGCUCUCAGGAAGUUAAUUUCAUCUGCCAGUGCAUCUGCUUUGGCCUGCAGCUCGACCUUGUUCAUAUAAGCACCAUCCACAUCCUAAAGAAAAGACAACCAAAGACUUCUGGUGAAGCCAAAGGGACUUCCAUGGGGACCGUCUCUCUGCUUCCAGGUGUAUUAUUUUUGGGAGACUCAAGGGAUCAGACCGUGACCUCCGUUACACCGGAGCAGCUUCCCAGCUAAACGCUGAUCCGGAACGUAAGAAAUCUGACAUAGCUAGAGCUUGAUGCUGAGAUCAAGUUUUGCCUUUUUUACGGUCAUUUUGCAAACUGGAAGAGGAACCCAGUGCAAACACAAGGAGGCUCCACUUGGUCUCCAGCACUUUGUUCUGCUGCUCCAGGAAGCGCACCUGGGGAAACAAAAACAGGCACAUGCUGAAGCCUGUGUGAACAAUGCACACAAAAAACCCCCUGCUGCCAGGAAAAGGAGGGAUCGUUCAACACGGAAAGAAAAGAGAUCCCAAACAGCGUGAGAGAUCCCAAGUGAGCUGCGCAUCCCACGAGCGGUUAAAUAUCCUGCGUUUCCAGACUUCCUCAUGGCCACGCUAAUCUCUGGAUGGAAUAAAGGUCAUCGCAGAACUUGCCCCUGCUGCUGUGGAGCUCCUCCAGCUAUUGCACGGGAAGAGGAUGACGUUAACGCGCCCGAAUCGCCCCUUCCAGGGAAGGUGGUGACUCUCCGGAGCUGCACUGCCGUG